CAUGGAAAAAUGGUGUUGCUCCAACCUCAUGAACUGAAACUCGAGAUCUUGAUGCGGUUUCAACAUUCAAGAUCAUACGCGUCUGUAUAUCAAUUAAAUUGUAACAGUGUCCCACAGAAACUUCUGAUGAACGUAUUUUCUGAGGUUAAACCAUAUCAGUACCAAUGAUCAAGCUGGUCUUAAAUUUCAUAAGAUAUGAGGAGAAAAUUUAAGGGUCUUACUGCUAAUGCAUCUGCAAUGCUAGUUGCUUCGAGGAGGUCUCUAGACACAAAGUUCCUUCCAAUGCCAGCUGGUACAAUCUCAUCUUCAGUUGGGGGUACGGAAUUCAGUGUGAAUGCCUAAGGUUCAUAUUGGGGACGUGUGUUUUACCUCGCUCCUUUUAUUAUAAGAUGGUCCAGGACAGAUUUAUGAUGCACAAAAGAAAUUUUACCAUUCCAUGACUGUUAAAUCCAAAAGCACAGCUUGGAAGCUCUCCUGCAUAUGUAUUGCACUGUCUAGAAUCAGAGCAGGAUGCAGGAAACUAAAAGCAUACGUGUGGCCAACUAGAGAGACAUUUGCAUCCUCGUUAUGAGCUGCAAGGGCUAUCAAAUCGCUAACAACCAGAAUAUCAGAACAGUCAUCUGUAGUAUCACCAUUUGAAUUCAUUGCUGUAUUUGAAAUGAAUGGAAGUAUCUCCUUCCUGAAGUUGAUAAGUAUUAUCUGCACGGGAAGAACUAGAAUGUGACUGAUUCAAUAGAGAUAUAUGAUGGAAAUUAAAGGUUUGUGAGCACUACAUCAAGAACAGGCACACCACUUCCUUCUGCAGUCCCUAAAAGUUCAGCCCAAUAUCUUGGGAACUUCUUCUGGUUAGUUUCUGAGAGUGCUUUGAUCAGUGGUUUUGCCUGUGUUGUUCGAGCAAAAGGAAGGAGCUG